CCUACGGGAGGCAGCAGUAGGGAAUAUUGCACAAUGGGGGAAACCCUGAAGCAGCAACGCCGCGUGGAGGAUGAAGGUUUUCGGAUUGUAAACUCCUUUUGUUAGAGAAGAUAAUGACGGUAUCUAACGAAUAAGCACCGGCUAACUCCGUGCCAGCAGCCGCGGUAAUACGGAGGGUGCAAGCGUUACUCGGAAUCACUGGGCGUAAAGGGCGCGUAGGCGGGAUAGCAAGUCAGAUGUGAAAUCCUAUGGCUUAACCAUAGAACUGCAUUUGAAACUGUUAUUCUAGAGUAUGGGAGAGGUAAGUGGAAUUCUUGGUGUAGGGGUGAAAUCCGUAGAGAUCAAGAGGAAUACUCAUGGCGAAGGCGACCUGCUAGAACAUAACUGACGCUGAUGCGCGAAAGCGUGGGGAGCAAACAGGAUUAGAUACCCGAGUAGUC
rnacentral:rRNA from 1 species